CCUAUUUAUGUGAGACAUGUUUUUAAAUUUGUGAAUGUUACAGUUAACUCCUAAAACAGUUCACGCAGUAUAAUAGCACACAUGGAAAUCAGGCAAACAUCAUGAGGAGAAAGAGCUCAUUUUGCAAUGCCCCUCUGUCUUUCUAUAUUUGUGACAAGGGUUCAACCUGAGGGACCGGCAUCCAUGAUUCUUCAGCCUGGAGAUGAAAUCAUUCAGGCAAAUGGCUACAGCUUUGUGAAUAUAGAUCAUGGGUAUGCAGUGUCCCUCCUGAAGACGUUUCUGAACACUGUGGAUUUGACUAUCAUCAGAGAAGCGCAAGCAUAGACUCAACUAAGACCUCUAAAGAAGAGGGACAUGAGAAAAGAGACGAACAGAGACAUUUUUGUUGACUCUCAUAUUUUUUAUACACUGAGGAGACUGACCUGUUAUCUGUCGGGACUAUUUAUAGAAGAGAUCUCCGUAGCCUUGAUUAAACAGGGAAAACCACUGAAUGAAGUGGAUCAAAGUGAGACGGCGGCAAACCUCUGCAAGUACGAGUCCUCAGAAGGCCAUCACUGUGGUAUAUAUAUUUUUAUACAAAAGAAGCUGAAGAUGUGACCUGCUCUGACGCAAAUGAUUACUGUGGUCUCUGUACAGAUCAUCUUUUUUUUUUUUUUUUUUUUUUGUCCCAAACUCAUAAAUUCUUUAAAAUACAUAGAUUUAGGUUGUAAUCCUGCAGAUUGACAUGAAUUGACCACUUGGGGACAGAGCUCCCUCUCUUCUGUCAUUCAAUUGGUCUAUUUUUUAUUCUUUUUUAAACAUAUUGUUUUAGAUGUUGAAACCAUUUUCUGGUCUGCCGUGCGUUCAUAUUUGGAGGACAAUGUUACGUGCUUUUCAUGUGGAGACGAAUGUAGGUCAAGGAGGGGUUUGAUUUUGUUUAUUUGGAAAGUUUUUUUUUUUUUUUUCUCUCUCUCUUCUUGCAAGAUGGAGGAGUUGAGAAGUCAUCCGCCCUGCUUCCAUAAACCUGUGAGCACCCUCCAGCAUACAAACACUUCUGUUCCCAGUUCCUUCCUCACAGCGACUGCUCAGCAUAUCACCGGACCGGACCACUACCUGUGCUGUGUGGAAACAACCCCUCGCAGUAUGAAGCUUCUGAGAUGUUGGGGAGGAGUCUGCGUGUGUUUUAAUAGGACUGUUAAAUGGAAAGGAGAUUUAAAUAUUGGCAAAAUGGGAGAGGAGAGGUAUAGCAUGUUUGCUCACCCUUAAUCUGAUUUUGCCAAUCAAAUGCUUUUGUUUAAAGCAAAGUUAGACAUUUUGGGAAACGCUUAUUUGCUCUCAGGCGACGUGUGAGAGGAGAAUAUUAACACAAGAGCAACAAGAGCGGUAGCUAUCGAUCCUCUCCGCUACUCUGAUCUUUUUUUCCACCAGAAAGUGAAUACACGCACUGUAUUUCCAAAAAUGUAAAAACUAUUCUUUUAAGCGGAGAAAGAUACGGCGGUUAUGCUAGUUAACCAAAGCAAGUUUGGAAAUUGUGGACUGAAGGUAAAAGCAGCAGACAACUGACAGAAAGAUAUUUGAAAAAGAGCAGGUCAACGUUGGACUCAUAAUGUUUUUUUUGUUUGUUUUUUUAAGGGCUUCAUCUUUCAGGCAGAAAUGAGUGGGAUAAGUGUUUGUUUUGCAGGGGUUUCAACAUCUGUCUGUUUUAUUUUUUACAUGGGAGAAGACCACAGUUUGCCUUUUGUGUCUAAAAAUGUAUCAUGCUUUUUACUUUGAUCACUUUGGAGCAGUUUUUCUUUGCUGUACGGAGUAGAGUCGGGAGAAACAAGUUGUCAAGUGCCAUAGACCUUGAACUGUUUGACAAGGGGAGGACCUUUGACCCCAGAACCCAAGCAAUAUUCACAUGUUCACAUCCUUCUGAGUACCUUUGCAGCAUAAUGGCUUAAAAGUAAGCCUUCAUUUUCAUUCA